CCGCGGGUGACCACCUUCCCCUCACUUGUCCCUGGCGCAGCGUGGCUGGGCUUCUUGUUUUCGGGCUGGAUUCCUUUCUGAACUCAGCUUCCUUGACCGUGACCCUUGGCCUUGUGAGGAUGAAGCGAGAUCAUGGCUGAUGGAAAACCUUCAGAAGGGCUGUCAGCAGACUCCGGGUCUGCCGGCUCCUUGAUUCUGGACUUCCCGGACUCCAGAAUGGACCCAACCCUGUGGUCGUCGUGCCCGGCUGAAGGACAAAUGAGGGCAGGGACAGCACUCGCCUUUCAUCACGCCUGUGAACAAACCUUUUCCAAGGUCCUGAGGACCAGCUGUGGAAUGAGUGAGCCUAAAACAAUGACAAUAGAAAGCUACAAUAAGGAUCAAACAGUGAAGACAUUCGUCUACAUGAGAAGUCACAUGUCUUCAGCAUUCCAGCAUAUAUACCCAGAGCUGUAUGUGUUGCCCUGAUGAAGUUGGACAUUCCAGAUGAAACAUCACUGAAAACUGCCAUUGACGAAGUGAAGCUGCUAAAGACACAAAUGUUCCAGUGACCAAAGUUCUAUACACAUACACAAUAAGUUAGUACAUGUACUACAACAGUUAUUUGAUUACAUGUAAUUAUAUAAUUCAUUAAAAUGAUUUGAAUUA